CCUACGGGGCGCAGCAGUGGGGAAUAUUGCACAAUGGGGGGAACCCUGAUGCAGCGACGCCGCGUGAAGGAAGAAGUAUUUCGGUAUGUAAACUUCUAUCAGCAGGGAAGAAAAAGGACGGUACCUGACUAAGAAGCCCCGGCUAACUACGUGCCAGCAGCCGCGGUAAUACGUAGGGGGCAAGCGUUAUCCGGAUUUACUGGGUGUAAAGGGAGCGUAGACGGCAUAGCAAGUCUGAAGUGAAAGCCCAAGGCUCAACCAUGGGACUGCUUUGGAAACUGUUAAGCUAGAGUGCUGGAGAGGUA
rnacentral:rRNA from 1 species